CAAGUACUCCAUUAGCUCUCAUCAGCUACAAAAGGACAUUCGUCAAGCCCUACAACUGAACUCCUCAAUUUUAUCAGACACUUGAAACCACUGCCAAGAAACGCAGAGAAAGCAUGACAGUUCUUUCCAGCCAGGCAUACUGAAACCCAGGAGGGAUUUCAUAGCACCUUUGCACGCCAUUGUGACAAGUGGUGUCAGGAGAAGAGAAUAAACUAUGACAAUUUCUACAUGAGAAAGAACCCAGGAUGAUCACAGAAUAGACUCCCCAUCACUAUCAGGACAAAAAAGCUAAAUGAAGAUUAGAACACAAGCCUGUAGCGGCCCAUCUAUUACAGCAAGCUUUCAACAUAGAGUCCUUGGACUACGUGACUGCCAAGUUCCAUUCCAGCUUCAAACUCCAUCAAUUCUGUUUAAUAUUGACAUUAAUUGAAUUAGAGGGUUUUUUUUAAGUCACC